CUUCAGGGCUGCACGGAUUAUCAGAGCAACUUGUUAUGGAGCACAGAGAGCAGUUUGACAGAUAAGCCGUCCAUGUUGAUUCACAGACAAGUCCUUGGCUGAUACAAUCACCUGUGUGUGUUUUUCCCAACAGACUUGCUGUCCGUUUGGCUGUUUUGUUCCACUGCAAACCCUAAGGACACGCAAACACAGCAGACACUGCAUGACACUCAGGGCAUCUCCGGAUCCUGCACAUGGAAAAAGAAAAAGAACAAGAGGCAGACAAACGAUGAGCUCACAGGGAUUCUAUCCUCCCACUGGUCCCAGGCUGUUGAUUGCUGCCCCACCUCCUCCUCCUGCCUGGCCUGAAGCAUCUGACGGGUUUUAUCUCUUAUUUAUAAGACUUUGAGGUCAACACCAGACCCUUAACACUUGAUUUCCCACAAGGAGAGAGGUGGCGCUUCCUUUAUGUUUUUGCAAAUCAUAUCAGAACCAUGUAAGAACAGCACAUGGAUGCAUCAGUAUAUUGGCACUUGGCUGACGUAUCAUGUCUUGCAUUAAAAAUAAAGAGGAUGCAGUGAAUGCAGAUGUGUGUGAAGAGGAGAAGAGGUCAUUUCACCCCCCCCCCCCCUCCCAACCCACUGCUACUGCUUCUUGCUUUCACCCUAGAGGCUCCUGUGGUGCAUGAUGCUAAUAAAUUAAGCAGAAAUCAUAUCAGGUGGACUCAUUGCUCCAUCGAUUGUGAGAAUGACAUCAUCCUCUUCUCCUCUCAGACCUUCAGAUCCCAGAUGGAGGAAGCAAAACAAGGCAGGGAAAUCUUUAAACCGGAGGCAUCCUCUUUCCAGGCGGAGAGUUGUCAAUGCUCAUUUUCACCUGUAUUGCAUUUUCUAUCUCACACAACCACGAGCGCGCUGAUCAGAAGGGGGGAUUUUUAACCCGCUAUAGAAGUUUCCACAUUAGUCUGCGAAAGGCAGAGCAGACAAUCUAUGAGACAAUUACAUUAGAGUGUCAAAUGCAUGUGGAAAAGCUUCUCGCACACUUAAAGCGAGAGCUUAUGAAAAUGAGCCCGUGGGUGUGCGUUGUAAAGAAGCUGGCUGGUGGCGACAUAAAGUGUGAGCUCGCGUGCGGCUGUGCUUAUUUUCAGCCCUUAUAAAUGCUCUCGUUCCAUAUGAAGUUUUGCAACAUGUGGGCAUUUGGAGCUAAUUGGAUGCGAAUGUUAAUGAAGGAAGGGUGUUUUAAAAGGUUGUGGGGACUUUCUGGCAGCUUGAAGAUAUAAAAUAUUUUCAUCAGAUUUCACGCUUGGACCAAUUUAUAUCCAUCAUUACAGCUUUAGCAGAACUGAAUUUAAUAAAACCCAAUGACAAACAUGCAAAAUAGCCACAAAAUGUUAAAUCACACAUUAGUCUAGGCUUGGGAAGAAAGAUCCACAAGCUAUAUAAAGAAUGUAGAUGUGUAAGUGAGACUUUAUUGCCUGUGAUUUUACAGUAAAUUGCAUUACCAUUGCUAUAUUCUUUCUACCCCUGUGUUACUGAGUGUGACUGUGUGUGCUAAUGAGUGUGUGUUCAUAGCACCCGGUGACUCAUCCACAGUGAGCACACCCUGUACUAUUCCCAUCCAUCUCCAGGCUCAGGGGAGCAGACUGGGCUUGACCACAUGUACUCUGCAGAUACUCAUCAAAAGGUUUUGACUGGCAAAUACACGAAAAUAGCUGGAGGAUAUUGUCUGAAAAGGUGUUAUAAAUAGAAAAACUAAGCGAUAUUUUGUCUUGUUAGACUCCGCUCCUUCAGCUUCAGAGGCGGCGGGCUAAAGCUGUGAACAACCUCUGACCUCUCGGUGGAAACCUCUUUUUGGGGUGUGAGAAAAUGUCCCCUCAGGCCACGUUCAGACCUGCAUUAGCAUCUUGUCAAGAAAACACGGCCGACUCAUUCAUUCCGGUGAGACUUCUGUAGCGGCGCAGCAUGGGACCAGAUGCUGCAGAUAAAAAACACACGGAGUCAAACAUCAAAAAGUGUUAUCCGACUCAACUUUAAAACACCAAGCAUGCAAUGUCAUCUGGAAAAACUCAGUGGCCAAUAAAAUCGAUGCAAGCAUUCAUUCUUAGAAGACUACUUUGAUUAAAAAAAAACAAAAAUAUACAGAGGGAUUCUAUUGUUUCUAUUGACUGUUGCUGAAACAACUCUUUUACUAGUUAUUAAUGAUCUUCUUUUAAUUAUUAAUUCAGACAUCUUUUAUUCUGGUGAUCCUCUAGAUCUUACUGCUGCCUUUGACACUGUGGAUCAUUGUAUCCUUAUAUUAUGGUUUAGGGUUCAUGGCUUAUAUAUAGGGUUCAAGUCAUAUCUGACAGAUUGGAGUCUUCUCAGUUCACUUAGGUGAACAUUCGACUGUAACCCCGCUUAUUUGUGGCAUCCCUCAAAGCUCAAUUCUGGGCCCAGUCCUCCUUUCACUGAAUAUGCUGCCCUUAAAGUCCAUAUUUAGGAAGAAUUUUGUUCCAUCUCAUUGUUUUGCAGAUGAUUGACGAGUCUAUCUUUGUGUAAAAAUGAAAAGUUAAAAUUCAGUACAACCUUUGCUGGACUGUUUAGAAUAUACUCAAAUUUAAAUCCAUCCAGGUAACAGUGAACGACUACCUCUGUCCCAAGGAAAACAUUAUUCUUGCCUUUAUUGCCAUGUGCUGAGACUAUUGUAAUUCUUUGUAUGGUCACUUAGAGUAGCCAUCUCUUCAGUGUCUGCAGCUGGUACAAAAUGCUGCAGCUGCUCAUCUUUUUACAGGAAAAACAACAAGUGAUCACAUAACAUCAGUACUGGCCUCGCUCCACCCGCUUCUUGUCCGCUUCAGAAUCGAUUUUGAGAUUUUACGGUUUGUUUUGAAGGUUGUAAACAGGCUGACAAAAUCUUAUUUCGCAGAACUCUUAGAUCUUCAUACCCCAGUUAGAGCCCCUGAGGUUGACUAAUCAGAUGCUCUUGUGUGUUUUUAGAUUUCCUGGAAUGUAAGAAAUGAUCAGACUUUAGAAACACUGAAUAAAUGUAACUUCAACACAGUGUUAAGUUUUGUAUUAUUAUGAAAUGCUGCACAGUAGCACCUCUAAACCUCAACAACUAAAUCAGAAGGAAACAGACAAUGUAGAGUAUAAUAAUCCAUUUUGUCUAUUUAUCUUUAAAGCACAAGUAGGAUGGAUCAUUACAGGCUGCAGAGUACUGUAUAUGUCAGUAUACAUAAUAUGCAGGGACUUGUACAAGGUGUGUUUAAUUGGUUUGACAUUUCGGGAAAUACAUGCUUUGCUGAGUGUUGUUUGGGACAGAUACCUCUGUCAUGUGUAGUGCAUACUGUGCUAUAGCCAGCAGCCAGAAACCGUUGAUGGCAGGACCCCAGGAACUCACUGAACCCAGCCAGUAAAUAGUUCUGUACAAAAGUCCCCAUAAGACCACAACGUGUUUGUUUUUGCACUUCAUUUUUUUUGCACUUUCUAAACAAAAACCAAUGCAUAAUGUGAUAAUUAGUGAGUGCUGGCAGCCAUAUUUCUUGCCUUUGGGUAGACCCAUGUCUGCUUUUUCCCUCUGCUUCCAGUCUUUUCUUGCCAAACCAAACCAAUCUAACUCUCAGCAGUGAAGCAAAUAACUGUAUUCCCCAAAACUAUUCCUUUAGUCAUCGGUGUAUGUAGCCACACAACAACACAAAGGUAGCUUCUUGCAUUUUAGAUAAUACUUUAUUAGAUAACAAGCAGUAAAAAUGAGGAACUGUCCCAUCUAAUUGUAUUUUACUGUCAAAAUGCUGGAAGACAGAAGCACAAAGCUGUUGUUGUGCUGGUAAUUGGUAAGAACAUGUGCGAGUAUCACAUUAAUUCCUUUGUCUACACAAACUGAUUACAUAUGUGAAUGUCUGUAGUUUCUUUUUUUUUCUUAUAAUACAUGUUUACACCAAUCUGUGUGCUCAGCUGUGAUUUUUGUGUGCUAGAAAACUGUUCUGUUCUGUGUGUCGCUGGGUAUUUGUGGUGGAAAACCAACCGUCCACUCCUAGGACAGUGCAGCUUGUAUGUCUUUGUGUGUGUUUGCUCAUACUGAACACUAAGAUUAAAAUGCUAUGACCAUUCA